rnacentral:rRNA from 1 species
GUGAGGUGGAGCAAAACUCAAAAACUUAGUCUCAGUUCGGAUUGUAGGCUGAAACUCGCCUACAUGAAGCUGGAGUUGCUAGUAAUCGCGAAUCAGCAUGUCGCGGUGAAUACGUUCCCGGGCCUUGUACACACCGCCCGUCACACCAUGAGAGUUGGCAAUACCCAACGUACGUGAUCUAACCCGCAAGGGAGGAAGCGUCCUAAGGUAGGGUCAGCGAUUGGGGUGAAGUCGUAACAAGGUAAC